rnacentral:lncRNA from 1 species
UUAUUUAAUUAUUUAAUUUAUAUUGGUCAAUAAUAUUCUAACUUUAAAAUUUAAACUUGUUAUUUAAUUAAUAAAUUUAUAGUUGCGAGAAUCAUAUAGAAUAUAAUUACUAAAUUUGUUAAGGUAAAUAGUGUAUUCAUAUUUUAAAAUUAAAAUAUCAUUGAUUUAGUUAAAUCAAACAAAUUGAAAAAAUUCGAUUGUGAAAUUAAAAUUUAGAAAGUUGAAUAUUAUUGACCAAUAUAUCCAAAUAAAAUAUAACUAUAAAUCUAAGAAAAUCCUCUAAGUCAGGAAAGCAAUAAUUGCAAAAAGGUGCUAAUGCUCACUAGAUAGACCUUUUGAAGGAGGUAUUCUUUACUGACAAUUAAUAUUGUAUAAUUUGUAUACAAGGUGUUAGGAUUUGGUUAGAUUUAUAGUUAUAUUUUAUUUGGAUAAAAAUUAAUAUUUAAAUUUUUAAGAUAAAUUAAGAUUUAAAUAUUAAUUAGAGGAUAAACCUAACUAGAUUAGGAUUAAUAUUUAAAUUUAUUAGAGAUUGAUUAAGAUAGAUUUAGAUAUUAAUUAAAGUAUGAAUCCUAAAUAUAUUAGGAUUAGGGUACGUUUUAAGUUGAGCAUUAUAAAUAGACAUUGUGGCUCUCUUUCUUGAGUGUAGUACGGCUGGAACCAUUGGGGUGUCGUACCAGAGAGAGAAAAAGAGAGAGAGAGAGUUAUUUUAGUGCACCUUGUGCACGGGUGCACGCGGAGAGGUCUUUUUUGUGGGUUUAUAGAAGGCGAGAGAAGGGUAGAAGAGAUUCAAGAAAAAGGGAUCGGGUUGUAGCUAUUCUGUACAGAAGAGGAGUCAGGUGUAAUAUUCUCUUAUUUAAACUUUUAUCUUUUAUGAUUGUAUCAGUUUUUGCUGAGGAGACGGGUUUAUGGUAAAAAUUCGAUUUGACGUUUUCGCUGCGGAAUCCCAACAAUCGAUACCGGAUCCACAGCAGUCGGUAUCGGAGCGGAUUGCUGAUUCACGAGAUCCGGUACCGGGGCGAGUACCGGAUUCCCAACACAAGGUGCUAUUGGGAUCCGUUAAACUUUUUCGACACAAUUUGAGGAUGAAGAUAUCUAUACACAAAUCGUACAUUCAACAGCCAAUCAAGCUAUGCCUCCAAAUCCGGCAAUCUGCCCGAUCCGAUUUAGGAUAGAGUUCGCAAAGAAGCAAUCAGUUAAGACUAUGCCACACCAUUAUUAAUUGGAGGAUCUCAUGCAUGUUGUUAAUUAGUUGUUACACUUUCCAUUAUAAUAGAUACAUUUCGAAACAUUCUUAAUGCUGAAUUAAUUGAUAUUCAUGUUGACGUACGUACGUGCAUUUUCUCGCAAUAGGAUAGUAAAAAUCUACGACAUGCACGUGUUCUUCCGCUAUGAGUACAUUUGAAAAACCCCUCCUUAAGACAAAAGGUUUGGGAGAAUUAUGAAAGGAAAAGGUUCCAACCUAGCUAGCGAAAACAAAAGAAAAAAAACGUACGGAUACAUAGAACACCAUGAAAAGCAGAGAGAAUCAAAAGGCCCCUCACUUUCCCGGACACGUGGUUCCGGGCCCAAUGUCGGAAAAGGAAGAUGCAUCAUGCAUGUGAAUGGAAAAGACAAUCUUAUUCUGGAGUCCGUACAAUGUAAGAUGGACGCUCAAGAUCUAGAUCGUAAAAGCUGAUCAGGUCCAAUUAGUAUUCAUAAAUAUUUUAUUUAAUAUAUUCAUUUAAUAAACUCAAAAAAUCUAUAUAUUUUAUAAGUAAAGAAAGCAUUUAAAUAUUUAGAAUAAAAUAUUAUAUUUAGUAUUCAAGUCAUUUUUUAGAAUAAGAUGAAUCAUCUCGUAGAUAUAUAAAAUAUAUCAUUGUACUAAAUCAUGAAUCUUAAUACUUUUUAAGAAGUCAAAAAAUAAAAAUUUUUAUUUAUAAUCAUACGAAAAUUAUUUAUAUAAAAUAAAUAAUAUUUGAAUAACUUAUUGGAACAUCAAAAUAAGAGCUUACCCUAAUACAGUCUGACAAUAGUAGAACUACCCUAAUACAGUUCGCGGAUGACACCUUUUUCUUCUUUGCGGCUAGAAAAAGUUAUAUGAGAAACCUAAGGCUGAUGUGGCACCUGUUCGAGUGGGCCUCAGAGUUGAAAAUAAACAGAGAAAAGUCAGAACUAUUUUACCUUGGACAGGUUGAGGGCAAAGCGGCAAAACUGGCAAAAUUGCUCGAGUGUCGAGUUGGGACCCUUCCUACCACUUAUCUUGGGUUUCCCCUUUCCCAUAAACCCCCAACAAAGGAGGUUUGGAGAGGGAUCAUUCAGAAAAUCCAGAAUAGAAUCGACGGAUGGCAAGCUAAACUCUUAACUAGAGGGGGUAGACUUAUCCUGACUAACGCUGUCCUCACAAAUCUGCCGCUUUACUUCUUGUCAGUGUUCAAAGCACCUAAAUGGGUGAUCAAACGUAUUGAAGCCUUACAUAGAGACUUCUUCUGGAGCGGCGAGAGUAACUCUGCAGGUAAGGGAUGUUUGGUGGCAUAGAGGAACGUCUGUGUUAGCAAAGCGGAAGGUGGGCUGGGUAUUUUGGACGUAGCAAUAAUGAAUCAGGCACUACUGGUCAAAUAGUGGUGGCGAUUUUAUACAGCACCCCACCUUCAAUGGACCAAGAUUAUCCGCGCUCUAUAUUACAAUAGAAGGCUACCCAUGAGGGAGGGAAAUUCCUUUAGACCACACUCAUAUUGGUGGAAGGGAGUCAUUCUUACUAAAGAUAUUUUCAAAUGGGGAAUCCAAUAUAAGUUGGGUGAUGGGAGCUCUAUUGACUUUUGGUUGGACCGAUGGUGUGGGGAAAUGACCUUAAUUUCGUCUUUUCCGGAAAUCCACGCGAUGACGGAUCGCAAGCUACUAACGGUCAAGGAUUGCUUCGGAAGUGAUGAUUGGAAUUGGAAUAGAAUUCUGGGUGGUGUAAGCGACGCGGCGAACAUUAAUACAGGACCGGGUUCCAAUCUAUUAGCGCUAAGGGAAAGGGUUGGCAACUAUAGAGUAGUGCAAAGUCCUGACAUGAUUGGGUGGAGAUGGAGUAACAACGGAGUAUUCUCGGUCAAAUCGGUGUACAGAGCGUUGAGUGAUGGGGGUACGAAGGAUGGGCGCGCUUCCAAGAUCUGGAAGCUCCAAAUUUCCCUCAAGGUUAAAGUGUUCUGUUGGCUGAUCCUUAAGAAGAGACCUCUUACAGCUGAUAACCUUAUGAAGAAAGGUUGGACCGGAGAUCCUGGCUGUGUGCUGUGUAGGAUAGAUGAGGAGACAGUGGACCGCCUGUUCUCUCAAUGCGUUGUUACCAAAUUCUGUAUGGUGAUGAUUCGAGAGGGAGUGCAGGCUGGGGAGAUAGGAGAAGAUGUACGUUACAUCUGGGAUAGGUGGUCGGCCAAGAAAGGGCUGCAUAGUAAACAGAAUAGCUUACCUGAAUUGAUCGCUUGCUGGUGGACCAUUUGGAAGGGCAGGAACGAUUUGAUCUUUCGAAACGUCCAUUUUGACCCUGUUGUGAGUGUUCAUAGGAUUAAGCAGCUACUGAAGUCCUGGGAACCCCUCUUACGACCAGUCCGUCAGUUUUUUUUUUNAAUGCAUGGAUAUUAAAAUCAGUUAGUCGAAAAUGGAAGGGUUAUAAGUAUGAACUUAAAGCAAAAUAUAAGGUAAAUGAUCAAACAGAGCAACAAAUUGCAAGUACUGUACCAAAUGAAAUUAUGCCUCAACAAUGGAUUGAUCUUGUUCGCAUAUGGUUCUCGGAGAAAAGUGAGGUAACAUACUAGCAUUAUCAAUGCCUUUAAUAAUGCUACUAAGAUUUUUUUUCCCUCCUUGUUAGUUGAAUUUCUAAAUUUUCACAAAAUAUUUAUAUAAUAAAUUUGUUACUUCAACAGUUGUAUUCUCGGAUAGGAAAGAUGGCACGUGCAAAUGUUAAAACUCCUCAUACAACUGGAUCAAUGAGCUUUGCUAGAAAAAGAUAAGAAUUUGUAUGUUCUUUCUUUUAUUAUUCCAUUUUUUUGUUGAAAUAGGCAUAUAAAAUUUUAUGAUGAAUGUAUUUAUAGUGUAUAAUUCUUUAUUUUCUUUUAUAUUAUAUGAUAAAUUUCUGUGCUCACUAAAUUAUUUGUGUGAUGGUGGUAGGAGGAUGAGAACCAUAGAGAACCGUCUCGUAUUCAGUUUUUUGCAUCGACUCAUAAACAAAAAGACGGAAAUUAUAUUAAUGAUACAUCAAAGAGACUUGUGGUGCGUAUAUGUGUGCAUUAAUAACUUGUCAAGUAUUAGUAGUCCUAAUUAAGUUGUUGACAUAUUACUGUCUUUUUUCUAUUUGUAGGAGAAAUGCAUGACUGAAGUUGCUAAACGUUCGGUAUCCUCCGAAUCGCCUGAUGCAAUUUUUCAAUUGGAAAAUGAAGUUUUCGGUAAACUAAUAGGAAAAGAGCAAUAUGGACGAGUUAGGGGCUAUGGACUUGGACCUUCGCCGACGCAAGUGUUUGGGCCACAAGCGCAAUUUAGGUUUAUGGACAAUGCAGAACAAAAUAGUGUGGAAUUGCAAUCACAAAUGAAAACUAUGCAAAACAAUUAUGAGUCCAAGUUGGCGGAAAUGCAACAGAACUAUGAUACCAAGUUGGCCGAGAUGCAACAAGAUUUUCAAUCUCAAUUGAAUCAAGUCGCAUCUAUGCUCCAGAUCUUUGCAAGAUCAUCAAACAAUUUAGGUGGUGUAGCUUCUCAGUUUCCUGAUUUUGCUAGAUCCUCAGACUCGGGCAAUGCAAGAGAAAAUCCUGCUCCAGAUAUUUGGUUUACUUAAACUUUUGAGCUAUGCUAUAAUUAAGAUCCAUUUUGAGACGAAUCUGUCAUGUUUUGGUAAUAUUUUGCUUAUAAUGUAUGACCAUGACUUGUUAGCUUUAUAGUAUUAUUAGUGAACAUGUUUCUUUCUAUUAUGAAUGAAUGUAUUUUUUCUUUUAGUUUUGUUUGCUUCUAUAUAUGUUUUUUGUCCUCUGGAAAAGUUGUAAGUUUGUGCUUCAAGUCAUAAAGUAUUGUGUAUGAGUUUUAUAUCCAAUGAAAAAAAAAUUAAAUUUAAUAUCAUCUAAAUGAGGUUUUUAUAUAUAAAAUGUUGACGCUUUGAAGCAUCAGCAGAUUAAAUGAUUUAAUUAUAUAAUUUAAAAUCUUGUCAUUUUAAGAGUCAACAAUUCAAUAAAUUAACUACGUUUUGAAGCGUCACAAGUCCAAAAUAUUGUGGCGCUUUUUGUUGUCGUUAUGUAAGAGGGAAAAGUAGCUGGGCAGUCUAAAAUAAAGACGCUUAUUAGCGUCUUCAUUUGAGUAUCGACGCUAUCCCCUCGCGUCAGCUUAUUUCUCUCGACUUUCAACAUCCUGACGCAUCUGACGAUGCUUUUGACUGCGUCGGAGGUUAAUUUAGCAACGCUUUUUAGCGUCAACAACUAUGAAACUAAGCGUCCUCCAAAACACAAUUUAUUGUAGUGACAUUAGCAAUGUAACUGCUGCAAUCUAAACUUUUUCCUCAUAUACCUAAUUUGAAAAUGUAGUGACUAAAAUAAUAUUUUUAUACUAUGAAAACUUUCAAAAAAUUCAAAAUCACUUAUAAUUAAGUUUGCUUUUUCACACUAUAAUAUUGUGGUUACAAGCGCCAUAUAUCAGAGAAGUAAGUAGCCACAUUAAGAAACUGACGAUAAUAAUUUUUUAAAGAGACAACUUUGUAUUGGCAAAAUAGUCAUUUCACGCGUUCACCAUUAAAAAUCUAACGAGAGAUCAAACGGUAGGAACAAACAUAAACGUAUUAGAAGUUUUAGACGGAUACACUUACAAAUUAUAAAACUUUUAAAAAAAUAAAUCUAAUCACUUAAUUAAACUUCUAUAGAAAUUUAUCUAUUGCUCAAUAUCUUUGUAGCAAGCCAUACGAAAUUAAUGCUUUUAUUAACAUACGAAGAACAUUUGCACGAUUCUUCACAUUCAACUAUUAUUUUAGUCGACUCGCACACAAUCACAUCCAAAUUAUUAAUUUUAUGGUAGACUGAACACACUCACAUGCACCCAAUUAAAGUUGCAAUUAAAUGACCGGCACACCAACUCUAUACUAAAGCUAUCCGCGCGCGCUCACACUUUCCACGCUACUAGCUAGUACUCCACACUGUGGCUUGGUGUGUGAGGACCUCACACCAAUUUGUAGGCAUGCAUCCAACGUCUGUUCGGACACAACUAAUUAAUUCCCAGGAUGAUAGUAAGAGCAGACGGUGUAGACGGUUUGCAGGAUGGUGAGAAUAAGAAGGACAGCUGCUGCGAACAAAGAAAGGAUGGCCCAUGGGUUGCUGAAAUAGUCCCUGACCAGCUUCGCCCUCCACUUGGGCCAAGGGUAACCACAGUACUCCCUCACGUCCCGGAACAGUUGGGCGAGGUAGUGGUCAUCGUAAUCGAUGUAGGCCAAGUCGGAGAGCUGGUUGAAGAAGACCGCCAGCUCCUCGUCGCUCGCCAGAUUGUUCUCCAGGAUUCCGCGCUGGUGGAGUACCGCCACAUCUUCCCGCUUGUCUAUGAGGCAGUUCAUGAACAUGGCGUAGCUUGUCAUGUAAGCCUUACCAUCCUUGCACCCGCUGCACUGCUCGAAGGCCACGAGGUUCGAGAAGCGAACUAGGGUGGAGGGCUCCACCGAGAGGAAAGGGAUCUCGAGCACGCCGUCCUCAAAUGCUACAUCUAAGAAGGAACUAAGACGAUUCUCAUGAGUCUCAUUCUCAUUCUCAUUAUUCUUCUUCUUCUUCUUCUUCAUCUUCUUCUUCUUAAUUGUCACUCCGGCGUCCAGGAGCUCGGUAGCUGAUGGAAUCGUCCUCGGAAAUCUUUUCUCAUCCCCAUCCUUUGGAUCAGUUCGCAGUUUCGAGUGAUCAGUUUGUGGUGCCGUGACAUAGCACUCGUAGUAGAGAUGCAAUAAGUGAUCAAAGUUUUUCGCUUCCCAUUUUUGGGGCUCUUUUGUUUCUUCCUCUGGUUUCUUCGUUCCUUGCUCGGGGCUCCAAAAAUGGGAAGCAGCAAGCCAAAAAUGGGAAGCAAGCCAACAAGUGCCGCAAUUGGCUUGCUUCCCAUUUUUGGAGCUCUUUGUUUCUUCCUCGGGGCUCUCGACGCUCAUGCGUGUCAGGUAGUAUACAAGAAGCUCCAUCAGAGAAUAAGGUAUACUGCUGUCCGAGGUGGACUUGAGGCGUUCGAACAACUUGUCGAGCACACAGAAGGGGAUUUGGUUCUCAAGCAAGAGCAAAUCAUCGUGAACCAACGACAAGCUCCAUUUCGAAGCGAAAGAGCUGUCGCCAAACCCUAGCUUCCACUUGAUGAGGAACUCGAGGAUGAAGCACCCGUCGAGAAGCAGCAUCUCCGCAAACUCAACGGGGUUGAGCUCGACCUGCUCGAAGUAGCACCCCCGCACAUCCGGCACCAAUUUCUGGAUCUCAGCUCCGUAGUCCUCGAUGGUGCUGCAGUUGGGAGAGGGCAAUUGCUGGAUCUCGUCGACGUUGUCCUCGAUGGUGCAGUUGCUGCUGUGAGAGAGGAAUUCCUGGAGGUAACGCCGUUUAAGCAACUCCAUCGCCCGGAGGGAGGGCUCAUCAUCGCGGCGACCGUAGGGGCCGAUUGCGACCGUUUGGGGCUCGUACAGGUGCUUGUUGCGCUGCCGGAUGAGGGCCGGGGCGCGGAAGAUGGUGCACUUAUCCGAGGCCAUCGACUCCUUGCUUAAAACACUGAGUUUCCCCCAGGGGGAGCUCAGCAGGGGCUCGCAAAUAUCUGCUGCUGAUUCUCCUUCCGCUCCUUCCAUCGUUAUCUUAUUGCAAAGUUUCUCAAGCUAGAUCUGGCCAAUUUAUUGGUGCCCAAAAAAAUUGGGUGGAAAAAGGUUUCCUCAUCCGGCUUAUUUAUAGCCGUAGUAGCUGAAUAGCUUCCUAAACAGAGCCACAUCAGUAAUAACAAGUCAAUCAUAUUUUUUAUUUUAAAAAAAAAAAUUAAUAAAAAUACUUUUUUUAUAAUCAGAAUGUAAUGGAUUAAUUUAAAGAAAUUUAUUUGAUUUAUUGGAGACACAGACUUAACCAAUUUAUCCAAUGUAUUAUAAAAUUUUUCCCCUGGAUCGGACAAAAAUUACUUGGAGACUGGAAAUCCGGAUUUAUACAUUUUGACUCAGCCUGAGCCGCCGCUAUUUGGACGUGGGAUUUCACAUCUCAACUUACAUUUUUUUCUUUGCUCUUGAUUGCUUUUUCUGUGAUAGCAAUAUUUGAUAAUAAAAAUAAUCCGAUAUGACUAAAACCAGUUGAAGAAUAUCUUGUAUCACGCAUAAAAAAUAUACCUAUAUUAAUUUGUACUAAUUUAAUAAUUGUGAUUUUGAGAGGUAGUUCACCUACAUUUGUACUAUUUUAAUAAAUGUGUGUUGUAGAGUGAUCAGCCAUUAUUUGUUCCGUCGAGAAAAAAUCAGAACAAUUUUGAUUUUUUUUUUUUUUUUAAUUUUAGAUUUGAGAGCGUUUUGCACAUUUCACUUAUCUAUAUAUCCAUCCUAUCAUCUAUUAUCUCCUCAUCUUAUAUCCAUCCUAUCAUCUAUUAUCUCCUCAUCUUAUUUGUAGUAGUCAACACCACCUGGUGCCAUUGUAGUCCUCAUAAGUAAUUGGCACAUAAAAAAAAUUGAUUCAAACAUACAAAGCUUAUAUCAUUUUAAAUCAGUUAUUUGAUCUUUAAAAAUUUUAAUUUUACUGCCUAAUCUUUCAGUCUGUUUGAUUUAAGUUAGCAAAUAAUAUUUUAACUUCAAAAUUUUAACUUUAUUAUUUAAUUUAAUAAAUUUAUAAUUAUGAUAAAUAUAUAAAGUAUAUUACCUAAAUAUGUUAGAAUUAACGAUGUAUUCAUAUUUUAGAAUCAAAAUGCUGUUGAUCGACUCAAAACAAAUUAACAAUAUUAAAUAGCGAAAUUAAAAUUUUGAAAGAUGGAAAAGGCAAUUCAAAAUAUUUUAUAAUUUAGAAAAGUUUAUAAGUUUUUGUCUAGAAAAAAAAUUAAAGAAAAAUGUCUCCCUAUAAGAACCUUGUUAUGGGACAACUAAUAGUAUAGGAUGGUUACAUUCCGAAAAAGAUAGCUGACUCCUCGGCGCAUCGAAGACAUCUCAACAAGUCAGUUUGGCAAAUUUGCUUCUUUUUUUUUUUUUUUUAUAAAAGAAGGAUAAUUAGGAUAAAGAAAAUGGGGCCCUGAUGAUUUAUUUUAAGGAUAAAUGCUUCGUGUACCCAAAAUUUGUCCCUCAAAAUUUUUUUUAUUUACCUUUAUUUGUUUUUUUUUUUGGACGGAUUGGAAGGCAAUCCAACUAGAGCGUAUUUUAAUUCUCUAGUUCUAUUAUUUUUGUAUAUUGUAAUGCGUUGACAGUAAUAAUGCAUAAGUUUUAAUUAACUCAUACAUGCAAUUAAUAUGCUAUAUAAAUUUAUUAUAAUACUGUAGUAGCACUUAAAUAAAUAUUAUUGUUUGGAUUUAUGAAAAAACAUGUGAUCCAAAAGAGAAAAAAAGAAACAAAAUUAUAAUUUAGUGAAACUAAUACAUUUUGUACUAUACUUCAUAACUUAUAAAAAUAAAAUAAAAUAUUUUUUUAUUUCUUUCCUACAAAUAGAUUUUAAAUAAGACUUAUAACUUACAACUUUAUCAGAAUUAAGGGUAUAGUUGUUUUGGUCGAAGUCGGAGUUAAUUGGAAUGGCUAAAUUUUCAUAACCAGAGUUUGUAGGCAUUCAAACGAAAUCGGGGGAAUAGCAUUUCGUGCAGCCUACACGGUUCAUACAUGUGAAUCCGUUUAGCAAUAAAUUCAAGUAUGGUAUGAACUCGCAAGCACGAAGUCGAACCCCGUAGUAGAGAUAGAACUCGUCGAGUUCAAUGGGAUAUAUUUUUGUUUUAUAAAACAUUCGCUAAGAUAUAUCUAAGCUUAGUAGUAGAAUAAGGAUCAGCACUAAUUACUAGAAUGAGAUGGAUAAAGUAUACAUACAAUAAUUUCUACAAAAAUACCCCAAACACAGAUUUUUCUUAAAGCUAAUAAUUAUUUAUACUACCAUAAUGAAUUGUGCUACCUAAACACUCAUCAGGGAAACAUUGGGUACAUUUUGGCGUCCACAUAACUAUUUUGCUCAUAUUUAUGAUGGAUUGGACAACGACGAUAAAGGAGUGGGCCGAGUGGCUUGGAGCUGUAUGCUGUAGGCCACAGGUGUAUUUUGAUUUAUAUAUUUUAAAAAAAUUAAAAAAUUAAAACCAUAUGGAAUUUGCUCAAAUUACAAUUGAUGGUCUAAUUUUUUUUUAAAAGAAGAACAAAAAUAGAGUAUUGAUAUAAAGUAGAUUGAUUUUUUUUUUUCUUUUUUGUGUAGCUCUCGAAAAGAAAAAAAAAAGGAGAAAUUUUACUGCUUGAGAAUUUACUUUGUUAUCCUCUAUAAUUGGUUUUAAUUUAUCAAGAAUAAAAAUGAAGCCAAAAUCGGCCAAGCGAUUCAACAAAUAUAGAUAAAACUUCAGUAGGAGCUCCCAACGACACAUUGUUGGAAGUCCUUAAUUUGCCGACACGUGUUAGUUUUAUCUUUCUUUGAUAAUUCAUUAGGUUUUUUUAAUAUUCAAAUUAAAAAAAAAAAUUCUAAAAAAAAAAUUAUAACGUUUGAACAAAUAUAAAAAUGAUAUAUGACGAUAAAUUAAGACUAUUUAGCGAGAUGUUAUUGGAAGCUGCCCACUAAAGUUUCUUGUAAUAAUUAAUACUCUUUUGAUGAAGGGCGUUCCCACGUGCACACGGGACCCCUCCCUAAUUGAACAGUCCUCAUCAAUUUUGCCAGCCAAAUCGACAAGAAUAUCACAACUCUUUUAUCAAAUUAGUCAAAAUUUAUUAGCAAAACUAAUUACUUAGCUAAAUACAUUAAAAAAAAAACAAAUUGGCCGUCUUGUAUAAAUUACGAUUCAAAUGUUUAUGUAACCAAUUUGAGUUUUGAAACUCAAAUGAUAAAAUUAUAAUUUCUAUAAGAUUCUAAUAAUUUUUAUUUUUUUAAAAAAAUUGAUGGGGAAAAAAUAAGAGAAAAUUACAUCAUUGCCAUCGCCUUGUAAUUAACACUUGGAAAGGCAUUAGAGCAAAUCCUUAUCAGGGGGUUCGCCUAUCAGUUUUUGCCCACAUGUUAGUUUUAAAUUCUAAUGGUCAAAUUUAUUACACCGUUCUAGGGUUAGUUACACAUGUGCAAAUCUUUUAGUUUGUACCCAAUAACUAUUUUAUAAUAUACUAGUAUAGUUAUCUGCACGAUGCAGCGGGUAGACACUAUCGAAACAAUCAUUAUUUCUAUAAACUAAUUAAUAUUAGUUUAAAUUGAAACUAAUAUUAAAUAAAACUUUUUUUACAAACAAAAUUUUCAUUCUCUUUAUUAAAUAAAAACUAUUAAAUUAAAAUUGUAACUAUUAAAUAAAAAACUAUUAAAGAUGACAUUUUCAUAUUUAUUAACUCAACAAUCUAUAUAAUCAAACUCAAUAGUUUAGUGAAAAAAAUAAUAAGAUUAUAAGAAAGGACAAAUACAAAAUUUACAAUUUGAUUACACAUAACAACUCAAAUAAAAAAAAUUGUUACAAGUUCAAGCGAGUGUUAAUUGAAAAUUAAAUAAAAUUGAGGGCCUAUUUCAAAUGGCCUAUAGAGAAUCUCUCAGUAAAUAUUUUUACCAAUCCUUUUUAAUAUUUAAAAAAAAAAAACCAAACAAAGCCAAACCUGCACAUCUCCCAGCCCAAUUGUGCUCUUAUGCCUGGCGAAAUCUUAAUAAGUGAAUGAGCCCUGAAACCCCACAGAAGCAAUUCAGUGAACACCUCAUGAGCAUCUACUACAAACCAAUCUGAAUUAUAACAGAGAUGUAUAACUUGAGUUACCUCUAACAUAUAUGUAACAGUCUCAAAUCCUGAAAAAAAAAAAAAAGCAUAAUUAAACACAGCAACACCUGAGCAGAAGCAAAUACCCUAUAACAUAAGACCAUGGAUAAUAAGUUGUGAUUUUUCAAAACCAACCUCUAUGAGGAUGAUUAGGAAAUCCAGCGGGAGGAGAAACUGCAACAAAACAAAUUGUAAUUCAAGCGAAAAAAAAUCCCAACUUAAAAGAAAAGGAACAGUUGAGAAAAAUCAAGCAAAAUUUGGAAGAAUUUAAUGAUAAAAAUUCUAAAUUUUUUAUCCAAAUCGAAAAAAAAAAGAUUUUCACAUUUUUCCAAAAACCAAAAUAUCUUCAAAUUUAUCCAGGAGAAGGAAAGGAUCCAAACUUUUCAGUUCAGGCUUGCAAAUCACAUAAACCCCAUCAAAUUAACACCCAAAAUAGAAAAUCAAAAUGUACAUAUAUAAAAAAAAGAAUGAAUUUACGAAAAUGACUUUUUCUCUUUCACAAGAAAUAAUUGAUUCAUCUGAAAGUUCGAUCUUAGUCAUUUAAUGAAUUACAAACUUUUAUGAGAAUUACCUUCCAAUGCUUCUCCUCACGAUGGUGUCUUGUCCAUGAAAGAAAAAUUAGCAAAAUAAUAAAAGAAUGAAAUGGUGACUAUGAAAAGAUAAAAAACGUAUUGGUAUAGUAAUCAAUUAUGAUUAUAAUUACCAUGAAACGUUAAUGUAGAUUAUCAUUAAUUCAUGAAAUGUUAAUAGAUAUACCGGAGAGGAGAGGAGAGGGGAGGGGAGGGGAAGGGUGGGGGAGAUGAAGAGAUGCCUAAUACGGUGAGAAUUAAAGGAAAGAGAAUUAAUACGUUAUUGGGGAUUAAUAAAAUAGGUAUAGAUAUAGAUUAUUUAUCUAAUAAUCUAAGAAUGAAGGGUUUCUUGUCACGUGGCAAAAAAUAUUAUGAAUUCAUUAUGUUUAAU